GUCGGGCAUGAUAGUGCAUGCCUGUAUUCUCAGCUACUCUGGAGGCUGAGGCAGGAGGAUCACUUGGCCCCAGGAAUUCUGGGCUGUAGCGCGUUAUGCCAAUUGGGUGUACACACUAAGUUUGGCAUCAAUAUGGCGACCUCUUGGGAGCAGGGGACCACCAGUUUGCCUAAAAAGGGGGAACCAACCCAGGUUGGAAACGGAGCCGGUCAGAACUCUUGUGCCAAUCAGUAGUGGGAUUGCGCCUGCUCUGGGUACAUUGCCCAGGCUGGAUCCCACUGCUCUCACUGU
rnacentral:SRP_RNA from 10 species